AUUAAAACACUACUUAUCUUAAAUAUUCAUAGAAUAAUACAAACAUAAAGUUAUACCGCACAAUGAUGCAGCAUGUGAAAUCACAUACGAUGGUAGUUCUCCUGUUACUACUGAUUUGUUACACCGGUGGGAAAAGGGAUCUCAAUGACGUCAAAACCCUUGAGGGUCUACUACAACAAAAAUGUGAUUUUCAAUGUGAUGGAAAUGGACUUGUAGUCGUGUUUGCCGCGGAGAUUUGGGUUACAAGUACGAAGACGCAAUACAGGAACUAAUGG